GCCAGGUCAUGUCCAGCCUCUCAUCCACCAGCACCCCCAGCUCCUUCUGAGCAGGGCUGCUCUUUAUCAGUUCAUCCUCCAGCCUUUAUCCAUUUCUGUAUAUGGAUUCUGUAUCUAACAUGUUCUUCUUCAAAUUUCAAUUAGAGAAAAGACAAGAUAAACCUGUGGUUUCCACUCUGAAAAAUCUAUCUGUUAACAGUUAUUCUGGUGUUCAUGCUGUACUUUCUUUGUUAACAUUGCCUAUUGCUUUUAAAUGUUAUUAAAAUGUGUGGCCUGUGCCAGAUGUUAUGUUGAGGCAUUGGAUACAAGCAAGUUUCAGGGACUUGAAUAGCACAUAGGUCCGUGAGAUUUGAUCCCUUGAAGUUUCCAAGUACCCAGCUAGUCACUGUGGAAUGAGAUUACCUCACCAGACCUCGGAGGCCAAACAGCUUACGUCUAAAGUCCGUGAAGAAGGCAAGAAAGAGAACCAUUACCCCCUUGUCCAAUAAACACACAAGUAGUUGGGAUGAACAAUCUCCUGUGGGUGCACAUUAUGCUAGGUUAAUUAUAGUGCUGGGCUUUUUUACAUGAUGAUAAUUAUUAGACAUAUGAAAUCAGAUGAGGUUCAGCUUAUCCUCAGACAAAACUCAAAACAGAGUUGGACAGUUCAGGGUUAGGGCUUUGCAUCUGAAGAGUUCUUAAGUGCAUCACAUGAGAAGUAGCUGUGCUUUUGUACUGCCAUUUUCAAAAGACAAUGUUUGGCACAGGAAACCUAUAUUCUUCACCUGACUUCUUCCUCAAUCAUUUUCUUUGACAAAAUAAGUAAUAUUUAUCUGUAAAUAAAGCUAUUGAAGUGCAAAAAAUUAUCUGGAGGUUCUGAUCCCACACCUUGACAUAACCAUUAGCUUUGGUAUGUCUGCAGCUGAGUGGUAGGUAGGCAUGGGAUGGAGUGGGAGCAAGGCAGGUUAGUGAGAAAGACCUUAGGAUCCCCAUUUUUCCUCAUUCAGGGGAAAAACAUGCAAUUGAGCUGUAGGCACACCAGUGCUGCUGAAUUUAAUAUCCUGCCUGUCUACCUCUGGGCAGCAGCCAGUGUCAGCAGAAAGAGCUUGGGGAAUUCUUACUGCGGGGAGGAAAGGUGGCAGGGGAGCAAGAACAAAUAAAAAAGGAUGUUAGUUCUGGGUUACAGAAAUAUACAAAAUGAUCAGGGUAUAACAACGAUUAAAUCACUUUUUGCUGUAGCUGUUGAUGGCUGUGAUCUGUUGUUACCAGCAGGGACUGUGCCUUCCCAAGACAGAUGGGACUGGGAGACUUGCACAGGGAGGGUACAGAUUUGGUUUCCUCAAGCUGCUUUUACUGCAGAUUCCAAAUGCCAGUGAAUGCCACCAGCCCUACGUAACAAAGUGCAGCUAAGAGGUAAUUUUUACCUGUUAUCUUAAAGGGCUUAAUUCUGCAGUGCUAUAUAAAACCAAACUCCAGCUAUCAGGAAGUACAGCUGUCUUUAUCUGAAUCAGUAGCACUCAUAAGCAACUUACUGCCUCAUUACCAAACCUGAAGCCAGAAAUGUAUUUGCACAGGGACAGAAUGAUCAUGCCCAAUGUCAGGUGAAGGACAUUUACUUUCAUUAUUUUUCCCUUGUCUCUUGUAUUAUUCACAUAUUUCCUCUUCUUUAAUGUCUCUUCUCUUGAUUAUUAAUGUAUGAAGAAUGCUGGCUGCACAGUUCAGAACAUGACAACACCUGAGAAACCCCAAAGAAGCCAAGCAUUGCUAUGUGUUAUUUAUAGGAUUUCAGGCUUCUCUGCAUUUCCCUCAGUUUCUGGGAUUUUAUAAUUAGAGAAAGAAAGACUACCAACUCAGAUUCAGAUGGUGAAGGAAGCUCCAGAGCUCUGUAUUGACCUAUUUAUGCCAGAACUCCUCUUUAAUUGUUAAAACCUCCCUGUUGUAGGGGGUCAGAGGCUUCAUGUAUUAAUGCACAAAGUCAUGGGACUGAGCUGAAUAAUUUAUUAAUUCCUUUUGUGCACCACACCUAGGGCUUUUUUGGAGGAAGGGUAAAAUAUUUAGUGGAUUAAAACAAUGUGUUGGAGUUAUUUAUAUUUGGUACAAGUCUUAUGAGCUGCUCUGGGAGAUGGGGUUGUUUAGCCAGGAGAAAAGAGGCUCAGAGGGGACCUUAUGGCUGUCUAAGGUUUCCUAAAAGGAGAUUAUAAUGAGAUGGGGAUCAGCCUCUUCUCCCAGGUAACAAAUGACAGGACAAAAAGUCUUUUAGUUGUGCCGGGGAAGGUUUAGAUUGGAUAUUAGGAAAAAUUCCUUCACCUAAAGGGUUGCCAUGUGUUGGAACAGGAUGCCCAGGGAAGUGGUUGAUUCACCAACCCUGGGGGUAUUUAAAAUCAUAGACUCAUGGAAUGGUUUGGGCUGGAAGGGACCUUCAAGAUAAUCUAGUUCCAAUGCCCCUUCCACCAGACCAGGUUGCCCAGGGUCCCAUCCAACUUGGCCUUGAAAACUUUCAGGGAUGGGGCACCCAUAAGUCCCCUGAGCAACCUGUUCCAGUGCCUCAGCAUCCUCACAGCAGAGAAUUUCUUUUGUAAAGUGUUUUGAGAUGUUUGUGUGAAUAAUGCUAUGUGGACAGCAUUUAACCUCAGUUUAGAGUCAGGCAAAACACGACAUGUCAGGAUCUUCCAGCUGAACACAUGCACACGGCUCUCCAUCCGUGGCCUGAAGCAGUGACCCUUACAGAGCCAGCACUCUGCUUGGAAGAGCUUUUCCAAAGGCACUUCCCCAUUGUCUGCACCCAGCUGGCCUCUAAAAAUCAUUAUGGCCAUGACUCAUUCAUUUACUACCUGCUGGAAAAGACCAGAGCAACUGACAGAGUACAAUUACUGCUCAGGGUCUGGCUGCUUUUCCUGCUCUUAGUGACCAAAAAAGGUAUUUCCUUAUAGAAUACCUGUAAUCCUACAUUUCUAUUUUGUGUUCAGUAAGAACACAAGAACUCAGCUUUUUACUAGCUCAUAGCGCUACAAAGGUAUUUUUUUUUUUAAUGUAGUUAUUAUCUUUUUAUUUUAGAUCUCAUCAUUAAAAUAGACAGAAGAAUGUAAAAUGUAUAUACAGGGCUAUGAUUGCUGUCUGGUUUGUUUAAAUUAGAGAAACUCUAUAUUUUGAAAUUGUACAUAUAACUUAGAAUGUUUAGAUUAUGAAACUAAAGAUAACUGUAAAAGGAUAUGAAGCUGUAAAAGGAUAUGAAAAGACAAAGAGUGAUUAAAAAAAUACUUCUUAUUAGUCUUCCAUUUUCUUUAAAAUCACAACUUGCUACCUGUUGUGUAAAAUAGUGCCAGGCUUUGUGCUUAGAAAGCCUCUGUAUUUCUGUUCUUGAUUUUUCUUGUAAUGUUUUAAGGUUACUUUUUGUCAAAGAAUUUACUUAUUGAACACAUUCUAACAGCUUUUACUCCUAUGCAGUGCCACAUAAUGUUUACUUAUUUUUCUAUUUGCCUGAAUUUUCUAUUAAGUAAUUACAAAUUAAUUGUAUACUACUUACAGAAACUUGCUGUGUGAUUGCUUGUUACAGUCCUGUAGUAUUGUUACUUUCUUAAUUUGGCUGAUUCUCUUACAAAAAACAAAUAAAAGGUCCUCAAUGAUAAGCUUCAGCGUGAGGACUGAAGGUGUCUUCUGAAGUGCAUCAAAAGUGACAGCAAAUGUCAAAUUAACUUGGAAAGUUGACACUUCACCAGAUAAAGAAACAGUCCACCAACUGGUAUGUGUUAUGAAAUAGGUCAUGAAAUAGGGUAUAGGAGGCCUUCAGUACAGGCUUUUGGAAGUGGUUUCACUCUGUUUUCUUAGCUCAACAUAAUGAUUUUCCUCCUUUUGCUACACAUGCUGCCAGGCCACACUACCCAUCAUCCCAUGAUAUCCAAUUGAUACCUGCUGCAGUUGAUCAACUGGACACCAAUCAAAGAGAAGGGGAAAGAAUUGCCUAAAUGCCACAGUCCAAAAGCAGCACUGAAAUGCAAUCAGUAACUCUAAAAGAUGUGACCCAGCUUUCUUGGCACAGGCAGACAUAAACUCAGUAACUCCAGAUUUUUCACCCUUUUUCCUGCUACAAGGACCUGAAUUCCUUGUUCAUUUUAACAGCCCUUUCUGCCAAUAAAUAUUUGAAUUUUUCUUAGGAUGACUGCAGUUGCUGGCAAUUUUCUGUGUAAGGUCCUGCAGUGGUUUCAGCUAAGGUAGAAUUUCUUCUCAGCAGCUGUUACUGUGCAGUGUACUGAAUUCAAAAUGAGAAUGGUAUAGACAUUACACUGAUGUUUUUAGGGUUUCUUUCAAAGUCCUGUUUAUCCUAAGUGAAGAACUUCCUUGUCUCAUGUUCUGGAAAGGAAGCACGUGAAAGAAACUGGGAGGAAGCAUAGCUGGGACAGGUGACCCAGAUUGACUAGAGAGAUAUUCCAUGCAAUAGAAAGUCAUGCCCAGUGUAGAAACUGGGAGGAGCUGCCCAGAAGGGUGGCUGAUCUGGAUUCAGGAAGGGGGUUCUGAUGCUGCUCAGCAGGUGGUGAACAAUUACAUUAUGCAUCACUUGGCUUUCCCCUUUCUAUUAACAUCAUUAUUGUUGUUGUUGUUGUUGUUGUUGUUGUUGUUAUUAUUAUUAUUAUUAUUUACCAUUGUUAUUAUAUUUCACUUUAUUUUCGUUUUAUUGCACUAUUCUUAUCUCACUCAAGUUGCAUUUUGAGUGUCUUCCCCAUUCCAUCGGGGUUUGUGUUUGUAUUGUCACAAUGAGUUAUGUGAAGAAGGAAAGGCUGUAACUGACAAGCAACAUUGUUCUAACUGUCAGAGUACUUUUACAAUGCUUGUUGGACCCCAAAGGUAAUUUUCAUCCCACUCAAUCUCACAGACAACCAGACCCUUCUUCCUAAGUGAAGACAGCACAAGAAAAUUCUGCAGGACCAUGCUUAGGGGGGCUCACCUGGUCCAUGUAGCCUCCUCUCAGCCCUGGGUCUCUCUCCUACAUCACCAGUAUGAACAGGAGGCAAAGGCUGCCAUGACCCAGCCCUGCAGCACCACCAGGCUCCUAACUUGUGUUCCCAUGAAUGAAGUUUAUGAAAGGAAAAAGAGAUAAUCCUUGAUGUGGUAUCUAAAAUGAGCAGAUCCUUCAGAUCAAUCCCUGCACAAAGAUUUCUCUCUCUCUCUGCCACAAUCUGGAAGAUUAAUGAGGUGAGUAUGCAUGGCUGCUAACUGCCUGUGCAUGCCAGUCCAAGAAUUAAUAAAUGCUUUGCAGUUGUUCAGUCACAAUGAGAAAAUUACAAUCAAUUGGCAUUUUUAAUAAAGAAAUUAAUGGCAUACUUCAGUGAGAUGACACUGAUAAGUGACUGCUUCAGGCACUGAACUGCUCAUCUCUAUUUAUAACUAUAUAGCUGAGGACAGAAAAAAAGGAAGGGGGUGGGAGAGAAAAUAAAUCCCCAAUGAAUUGCUAUUAAUUGCUUCCCAGUGUACUGACUCACCAUAUUCUUCACCAGAAGACAGCUUUUGACAAUUUUAUUAUUUCAGUAUUUAUCUCAUCUCACUGUGUAAAUUCACACUGUGCCCCUGAGCAGAGCACCCUGUCCUGUCUUGGUGGCCAGCAGAGAGAAGGGGCCACCACAGGGACCUGGUGACCUGGAUGGUGUCUGGUACCUGCUUUGAGGUGAGAUAUAUUGCUCCCUAAACUAGCAAGGCAGCCCAGGGUGACUAGCAGAGAUUUAGCUCUGACCUAUUUCAGAUGUUUGUAACUAAGCAAGUGAGUCACACUUGGUACUUUUGUUGCCUUAAUUUCCCAUUGAAAAAGUGACUAUUCCACAUGAUCAAAGACAAGUUGUCUGUGAGACCUUCCAAAGGGAGAGGUGUGCCAUAAUGACUGACAAGAUAUAAGGAGUCACAAGUGCGAGAGAGCUAAAACUGUCUUUGUAUAGACAGGUGUUGCAGUGAGUAUCAGACAGCUCAGGUUGACAAAUUCAGUUCAGCUCACUCAAGAAUCUGUAAACACUGAUAUUGGCCCAAACUUCAUCUGACUCCUUUCACUUCUGUCAGUGAAAUCUUGGAAACGCAUCAAUGUGUUAUUUGAAAACUCUUGGGAGGCUUUACAGUAACUCUAAUUCAAUCCUUAAACAGGAAGUAUAGAAGGAACAGGGUAAAAAAAAUGUUUUUAAACCCAUUAAAGCAUUGGCAAGCAUUGGCAGAGCUCUGAUGGUGUUGAACAGAAAUGAACUGAGUGUGUCUUUGGAGGAAGCAAGUGGGCUUGGCUUGCCUGGCACACUGGCACAUGCAAGAGAGGCAGGAGGGACCGCAUGAAUGCAGGGAAAGAGGCUGUGUUGCUGUCCCACCUGCAAAUGCUGGAGUGUUCUUACACUGUGACAAAGGAUAAACAAGCUGAUACAAGAGCACUAGAAUUUUCUCCUGUGCUUUUCUUUCCCCUAAGCCUGUUUGGGCUCAAAGUCAGAAAUCCUUCUGACAUGCCAUGACCCAUGAGAUGGCAGCUCAAGCUGGUGCAGACCAUACUGAGUUGUGAGAGGUCAGGACUGCCCUGCAGGGCCAGCACCAGAGCCAUGAGCAGAAAUGUGUCAUGGAAAGCUGCAGCCACUGCAGCCACCAGGGAGAGCAGGGGGAGGACACCAACAAGCUGCUUAUGAAGGAUUUCUUGUGGGUCACUUUGCUUGGGGCAUCAUCACUUUGGGAAUCACAGAGUAACUGCCAGAUGGAGCCUAAGGAUUGUGCUGCUGAACACAAGUCAAUGAGGCUGCAGUAUAAAAGCCUCUUUCUGACAAUCAGCACAAAAAUCCACCAGUAAUGGAAAAGAUUUUAUAAUACUGACAAUGAAGCACUACAUUUGCACCAAAUCUCCAGCAGUAGGUAUGACACUGACACAUGCAUUUAGCAUGUUCUGGGGGAUGGGGAGGAUCGAAAGGAUGGAAAGGUGGCUGGAGUAUUUCUUGAAUCCACUUCUCCCCCUGUAUAUCUACAAUUUCAACAAAGCCCAUCUUCUUUUCUACAUUCAUAUAAAUAUUUUCUGCACAAGAAUGUAAACAAAAGUAAAAAAAUUGGAAUCUGGACACAGGUCAGCUCUUUGAGGAAUGCCUGCUUUCUGAAGACAUGCACAUGCACACAGGCUGCAGCUUACAGCCUAUAGCUGUAAGACCACAUCAGACAUGAGGAGUAUAACUUCCCAUGCCAGAGCAAAGAGCAAGCCAGUUAUGUCUUCUAAUGAUAGAAAUACAGUGCAAAGCACCCCAUGCCUUAAACUGCAUCUUUUAGCUGUAUCUACAUAAUGCUUUCAACAAGAUUAGUUGUGUUUUUCCAUUAUUGUAGAGAAUUGUGUGUUGAUAGAGCCCCAUUCCUCUUGCCCUGUUGGCAGUUCCCUAUGCAAAAGCUUUUUCACAUGUCACUAGGAGAUGCUGCCCAGAGAGAGUUCACUGCUGAGCAUCUAUUUUGUGCCUAAUAAAAUGCUGAGGUGUGAAAUGUCUGUCACAGAACAACAGUAUGAUGAAACAGCAUGAAAAAAAUAUCUUCCCAGCCCUCCUGGACAUCUGUAGAGCAACAAAUCUCCUAAUCUCUUCUGAAACCUGUAACCUCAGUCUGCUUGGCAGCACAAAAACCACCACCAGUAUCAGCUGGAACAAAGGCAGAGGACCUGUAGCUCUGCAUCUGGCACAUCUGAUGACAGCCUGGCAGACAGAAAGGUCUUGUCCUCAUGGCUCAGAAUUUUCACUCCAUGUCAAGCUCUUCAUAAUAAAAUCCUUGGAAUCCACCUGCUAAAGCCUUUGGUCUAAGAAGCAUGCUUAUAAAAGCCUCUGACUUUGAGGUCUCCUUUCUGGGACUAAAUCAUAUUAUUUCAUCCUCUGAAGGAAAGCUGAUAUUAGUGGGACUUGGUGGGUACAUUAAAGGACAGAGUUGACCCAGUGGCUUAAGGAAAAAAAUAAAAGAGAUAGGACUCUAAGGUUCAAGUUCAUGUUACUGCUCGACAAACUGAAAGGAGUGAAAUCGUUGCCUUACAAAGAAAAAUAAAACUUAGAACAUUUUUGGCUGCAAGACCUAUAAAUCCACAUCCACAUGUGCAUUCUUCAUAUUGAGGACUUUGUAAUAGUCUGGUAGUCAAUCGAUCCCUCAGUACCUGGUGGCUUGGACAGGCAGGGAGAGAUGAGCCCUUACUCUAAAUUUUUUGUUAGAGAUGGCAGAAGAACCUAUUUGCAACUGCUUGGAACUUUUAUUUUUUACCAUCUUUAAGAAUUGAAGAAAAUCAGGCAGGAUGUGUGGCUCUGGAUGAUUUUCUAGGAGAAACUUUCAUCAAAAGUAAUUCUUCUGGCUCUGAGAAUGGGACUAAGGGAGGAAAAAGCAUUGUUUUGUCCAUGUGGGCCCAGGAGGAACUGACUCUGAUGGGGACUGAGAGGCUCAGCAAUGCAAACUGCUCCAACUGCCAGCUCUGUAACUUUAAAGCCCCAGCAUGUGUGAGCACACUGGGUAAAGAAGUCCUCCCCAUGACUCCAGCUGCUGGUGUAUCACUUCUGACUAAUGAGAGGCAGAAGCAGAAGAGGAAGAAGGCAAGUGGCAGGAGAAGGCAGCAGAGGUGCCACAGAUAAAUGGGGAGGAAGGAUGAAAGGGGAGUGCUAGUCUGUAAGACACUUCUACCAGCACAGGACCCAAGACCUGAUCCUCUACAGUCUGCUACCAGCAAAUACGUGGGAAAGCACUAAUGGAAACAGCACGGCAGUCCUCUCAGGAGAUGGCUCAAACAGCAUGCUAUUGCUAAUGGUUGCUUCAAGUCACCCACUACCAGAAACCUGGAGUAUUAGCCCUCCUGAGAUGACCUGGACAAUAACUUGGACAUGUUCAGCUUUACAUUUUUUUUAAAGGGAACAAAUUAAGUGAGACUACUCUUAAAACACCAAGAUUGCAAAGUCAAGUGCUGAAGAUGGGAAAUGCCUGAGUCCCUUUGUUCUCCUGCUACUCAUGUGAGAGGACAGAGCUGCACAAGAAGUGAGUAUGUGCUCAUUUUUCUGCGGGCACCCUGACUCUUUCAGAGCAGAUGGCCAUUGCUUGGAGCAUGAAAGCUGGUGCAUGGAUGAGGGACUGUGAAGGAUUUCUUCAUCCAGACAUGGAAAAUGUGUCCUGUGUCACACAAGGCAUUACAGAACAGUUUCAGUCUAUGGUUCUUCAUGAAUCACAAAUGUUUUCCUCUGCAAAUAAAAUCAUGAAGAACUGGGUUUUUUUCUGUUGUAAUGUUAUUGAUCAUAUAAAACAAUCCCCAAGUUUUUAGGGGUGAGGUGGAGUUUUCAUGCCAUCAAAGGAGAGAAGAGGCAAAAAACCUCCCAAAUUUUCAGGAAUGCAACUACAUGGGAUGUGGAACAGCAGCAGCAAGUACAGCUGUAGGCCCUAUGGGAAGACAACAAGCAUAAGGAUCAUACUGUUAAAGACUCAUGAGCACUAUUUGCAAAGAGUCCAGAUUAAAGUCAAACCAAGCCAGCUCUGGCAUUGUUCUCUAGCACCAAAUGUUUGGCCUUACAGGCACGUAACUUAGAGAUCUGCAAAAUAAGGUAUGUGGAAAAAACAGAUACAAAUCCAGUAUCCUGUACCCUCCAUCCAAUUGUUUUUUGAAUUCAUGUCAGAUUACAAUGACUGUGAAAUGUUGAUGAUCUCUGUCCAGUGUUGGUAGAGGAAGAGAAAUCAGCUUCAGCUGAAAUUAUGUUUUAUAGCUAAGAGGAAAAGAGCAGUAAGGCACUGAAGACUGCUUUUACCUAGCAGUUGAAAGAGAGCUCUUUCUGCUGAAAAUCAAAAAGCUUUGGUAAGGGAAGGGAAAAAAAGCAUAGCUAUUGGCUCUACUGUUUGGUAAAAUAAAGCACGUUUUCCAAUAUUUUUCUUCCA